UGGUGAUUGGUUUGUAUGGGCAUGUUGGAUCCUUGCUUGUGCAGCGACAACGUCUCAUGUAUGCCUUUUCAGUUGUUGGCUCAAGUUUUACUUGGCUAUUGUGGGUUUCCUGUGCUAGAUACCUAUCGUGAAGGCAUUCAAAUGUUUUACACAUAAUCCAUCUUGUGUUGCUCCUAGUGGGUGCGGUGUUGGUGGACCUCAAAUCAUACAUUGUGUUUCACCUCCUUUGCAUGCAUGUUCAUGCUUUGGUUGUUGAACCAUGAUGUUGUGCUUGAUCUCUUGGAUAUGGAACAUUGAGAGGGUAUGGCUCUUGGGCCUUUAAUAACCCCAAAUCAAGUGUUCAACGCUUCAUGCGAACGACUAUCAUGCACGUGUUGAACGAGUCCUUGGGGCUUGGCUCAUACGUUGCUGAUGUCAAUGAGGAA
rnacentral:misc_RNA from 2 species